UACGUAGGUCCCGAGCGUUGUCCGGAUUUAUUGGGCGUAAAGCGAGCGCAGGUGGUUUAUUAAGUCUGGUGUAAAAGGCAGUGGCUCAACCAUUGUAUGCAUUGGAAACUGGUAGACUUGAGUACAGUAGAGGUGGGCGGAAUUCGUGGUGUAGCGGUGAAAUGCUUAGAUAUCACGAAGAACUCCGAUUGCGAAGGCAGCUCACUAGACUGCAACUGACACUGAUGCUCGAAAGUGUGGUUAUCAAACAGG
rnacentral:rRNA from 1 species